CACGCCGUAAACGGUGGGUACUAGGUGUGGGUUUCCUUCCUUGGGAUCCGUGCCGUAGCUAACGCAUUAAGUACCCCGCCUGGGGAGUACGGCCGCAAGGCUAAAACUCAAAGGAAUUGACGGGGGCCCGCACAAGCGGCGGAGCAUGUGGAUUAAUUCGAUGCAACGCGAAGAACCUUACCUGGGUUUGACAUGCACAGGACGCCGGCAGAGAUGUCGGUUCCCUUGUGGCCUGUGUGCAGGUGG
rnacentral:rRNA from 1 species